AUCGCCUCUCAAUCUUUUGGUUAAGAUCAAGUGUAGUGUCUGUCCUUUCCAGUGUAGUGUCUUUUGUUUACAGUGACAGAUAAGCUGACUGGGUUUACGAAAUUAAUUUCUUUUGGGCAUAAGAUUCCUAACUCUGAUGCCAAGAGGAAUUGUUUUGCUUUUCUUUGCAGGUUUCAACUCUG